UACGUAGGGUGCAAGCGUUGUCCGGAAUUAUUGGGCGUAAAGAGCUUGUAGGCGGUUUGUCGCGUCUGCUGUGAAAUUUCGGGGCUCAACCCCGAACUUGCAGUGGGUACGGGCAGACUAGAGUGUGGUAGGGGAGACUGGAAUUCCUGGUGUAGCGGUGAAAUGCGCAGAUAUCAGGAGGAACACCGAUGGCGAAGGCAGGUCUCUGGGCCAUAACUGACGCUGAGAAGCGAA
rnacentral:rRNA from 1 species